UACAGAGGUCUCAAGCGUUGUUCGGAUUCAUUGGGCGUAAAGGGUGCGUAGGUGGCUUGGUAAGUUGAAGGUGAAAUCUCGGGGCUUAACUCCGAAACUGCCUUCAAUACUGCUGAGCUCGAGGAUUGUAGAGGAGAAUGGAAUUCACGGUGUAGCAGUGAAAUGCGUAGAUAUGCGGAGGAACACCGAUGGCGAAGGCAACUCCCCUGGGCCUGCACGAUGACGUCAGUGCACGAAGCGUGGG
rnacentral:rRNA from 1 species